CCUCGUCGCAUGUGGCCAGCACGUUAUGGUGGGGACUCAUGUGAGACUGCCGGGGUCAACUCGGAGGAAGGUGGGGAUGUACGUCAAAUCAUCAUGCCCCUUAUGUCUUGGGCUUCACGCAUGCUACAAUGGCCGGUACAAAGGGCUGCGAUGUCGUAAGGCGGAGCGAAUCCCAAAAACCCGGUCUCAGUCCGGAUUGAGGUCUGCAGCUCGACCUCAUGAAGUCGGAGUCGCUAGUAAUCGCAGAUCAGCAACGCUGCGGUGAAUACGUUCCCGGGCCUGGUACACACCGCCCGUCCGUCAUGAAAACGGUAGC
rnacentral:rRNA from 1 species